rnacentral:rRNA from 1 species
GAUGAACGCUGGCGGCGUGCUUAACACAUGCAAGUCGAACGGAAAGGCCCUGCUUUUGUGGGGUGCUCGAGUGGCGAACGGGUGAGUAACACGUGAGUAACCUGCCCUUGACUGUGGGAUAACUUCAGGAAACUGGGGCUAAUAUCGGAUAUGAGCUCCUGCUGCAGGGUGGGGGUUGGAAAGUUUCGGCCGUUGGGGAUGGACUGGCGGCUUAUGAGCUUGUUGGUUGGGUAGGGGCUUACCAAGGGUUGGAAGGGUCGGCGGCAGGGGAGGGUGGACGGCCACCUUGGGCCUGCGGUACGGCGCAGUCUGCUACGGGAGGCAGCGGUCGGGAAUAUUGCCCAAUGGGGCGGAGUGUGAUGCGGAAGCGCUGCGUUCGGGAUGACCGCCUUCGAGUUAUAAACCGCUUUCGCCUGUGACGAGGCGUGAGUGACGGUACUGGGUAAAGAAGCACCGGCUAACUACGUG